GAUGAAGAACGUAGCGAAAUGCGAUAAGUAAUGUGAAUUGCAGAAUUCAGUGAAUCAUCGAAUCUUUGAACGCACCUUGCGCCCUUUGGACAUCCCGAAGGGCAUGCCUGUUUGAGUAUCAUGAACACCUCAACUCUCACGGCUUGUCCGUGAUGAGCUUGGACUUUGGGGGUCUUGCCGGCCUGUGGUCGGCUCCUCUCAAAUGGAUCAGCUUGCCAGUGUUUGGUGGCAUCACAGGUGUGAUAACUAUCUGCGCUUGUGGUUUUCCAUCAGAUAACCUUCAGUGAUAUGGAGGUUCGCUGGAGCUCACAAAUGUCUCUCCUUAGUGAGGACAGCUCUUUGAACGUUUGAUCUCAAAUCAGGUAGGACUACCCGCUGAACUUAAGCAUAUCAAUAAGCGGAGGA
rnacentral:misc_RNA from 1 species